UACGGAGGGUGCAAGCGUUGUCCGGAUUUAUUGGGUUUAAAGGGUGCGUAGGUGGUUGUUUAAGUCUGAUUUGAAAGCAGGCGGCUUAACCGUCUGAUGUGGUUGGAAACUGAACAACUUGAAUGGGUUGGCGGUAGCCGGAAUGGGUCAUGUAGCGGUGAAAUGCAUAGAUAUGACCCGGAACACCGAUUGCGAAGGCAGGCUACUACGACUUGAUUGACACUGAGGCACGAGAGCAUGGGUAGCGAACAGGAUUAGAAC
rnacentral:rRNA from 1 species